rnacentral:rRNA from 1 species
UACGUGGGGUGCGAGCGUUGUCCGGAAUUACUGGGCGUAAAGAGCUCGUAGGUGGUUUGUCGCGUUGUUCGUGAAAACUCACAACUCAAUUGUGGGCGUGCGGGCGAUACGGGCAGACUGGAGUACUGCAGGGGAGACUGGAAUUCCUGGUGUAGCGGUGGAAUGCGCAGAUAUCAGGAGGAACACCGGUGGCGAAGGCGGGUCUCUGGGCAGUAACUGACGCUGAGGAGCGAAAGCGUGGGGAGCAAACAGG